CCCUGCAACUUUCCUGCCCUCCUAGGGACAGAGUCCAGGUUCCUAGAGCCUCAGCCUUUGGCCACCAAGGUCACCCACUGGCCCUUACGCUCCCGGCUGCCCAGACCAAGUUUUACUCCUACUGCCACUGAUUCCUGGAAAGUACCCCCACUGGGUGGCAGCUCCCCCUGGGAUCCGUGAUCUUAGGUCCCCAUGAGAGGCCCAGUGAGGUUAGGCCACCUAGCCGAACUCCCACAGUGUG
rnacentral:lncRNA from 1 species